GCAAACUGAAGCUUGGAAUUCCACUGCCUUCUUCAGUCAGAGACUGCCUGGCUCUGCAUUGUUUUUUUGUUUUGUUGUUUUGUUUUCUGACUGCUUUGUAACGUAGGAAAGAAUGAAAGAACACAGAUAGGUGUAUACGAGGCUGAUCUGGAACUCUAGGCCACCAGAGUCACCUAGGACGGGAACCCAAAGUUUAUAAUAUGGUCCUGGGAAACAUGGUAACAGAGAACCUGGGAGGCAGUGAGUGCUCAGAGCUGGGAGUGCGGACAUACAUGUCAAGUGAGUGUUCCACUACCCAGCAAAAUCUCCAGCCCCCGCUACCUGGAAAUUAUCAAUGACUGCACGUGCCCAGCUCUUCUGGACCCUCUGAUGUUCUGUCACAUGGGAGCAAAUGGAGAGCUGGGACAUCCUUUGACCUCAGCCCUCAAAGCAUUUGACCAAAAUACCAAGAUAAAAAUGUAGGCCCGUGUUAGUACAAAAGGUCCUGCAUUCAACUGUCCUCCUUAUAUUGCCCAAGAAGUCUUGUGGAAUUCCAAGAAGAAUUCAAGGGGCCAGACCUGGAAUAUGCAUCAAUGAGAAUAAGACACUGACGAAGCUAACGACACUAACGGGGAAUGAGGAUAAUCGACUCCUGUCCUUUGUUUUACUCUUUAACCUAGUAAUAAAUCCCUUUAAAGGCC
rnacentral:lncRNA from 1 species